UUAUGGUUUUUUAAUUAUCCUAUUUGUUUAUGGGCUCUGGUUUCCUCCACAGCCCUAAUAUCUGCCACAUGGCAGAUCAGGUAGAGCCUAAUUUUAGUGGGCAGAUAGGGCCAGGAAUCCCUUAUUCACAUGUCAAGUGUCAUCUGAAACAGAAUAGGCCAUUUGG